CUACGGGUGGUCCAGUGAGGAAUAUUGCACAAUGGGGGGAACCCUGAUGCAGCAACGCCGCGUGGAGGAUGACGCAUUUCGGUGUGUAAACUCCUUUUAUAUGUCAAGAAAAUGACGGUAGCAUAUGAAUAAGCGCCGGCUAACUCCGUGCCAGCAGCCGCGGUAAUACGGAGGGCGCAAGCGUUACUCGGAAUCACUGGGCGUAAAGGACGCGUAGGCGGGUUGAAAAGUCAGGUGUGAAAGCCUACAGCUUAACUGUAGAACUGCACUUGAAACUCUCAAUCUAGAGUAUGGGAGGGGCAGAUGGAAUUAGUGGUGUAGGGGUAAAAUCCGUAGAUAUCACUAGGAAUACCUAAAGCGAAGGCGAUCUGCUGGAACAUUACUGACGCUAAGGCGUGAAAGCGUGGGGAGCAAACAGGAUUAGAUACCCGUGUAGUC
rnacentral:rRNA from 1 species